GGAAACUGCGUGUAAUCAAUCGGAUGGACAAUUUAAUAUACAAGCAAAUAUUUAACAAUAAAUCCAAUGUAAUCAACAAUCGCAGCAUUUCGAAUGGUAAUCGUACGUAAGUGGUGAUCAUUUGUGUAUGUUCCCAUAUUAACUUUCUUUUCAACUUCUUCGGACAAACACAUACAUCUUGUGUGAAACUCAUUUAAAAUUCGGAAAAAAUAAACAUGUCGAGGAUUAUUUAAUCUUCAUUUCAUUUGGAGCAAUUGUAAUAAAAUAGAAACAUGUAAUGCAUCAUCAGCGAAAUAAAUUUUGUUCUUUUCUUAGUGUAUCAUCAUCGCUGGCAAUCAAGCGAGGAGAUUUCCGAUUUUGGAUUUGAAGGUGCAAUUAAUACGGAAAUCGACAAAGUACAAAGUGAGAACAUUGGCUCGAAGCAAUAAGGUUGACAUGAAUAGGCACAAUCGCCC